rnacentral:rRNA from 1 species
AAGGGUGAGUAAGGCGACGGUAACCAACCCCACGGUUGGGUAUAGCCGCGGGAAACUGCGGGUAAUCCCCAGCGAUGUAAGAUGUCGGCAUCGGUGUUUUAUCAAAGCUCCGGCGCCGUGGGACGGGCCGUCGUGGUAUUAGGUAGUUGGCGGGGUAACGGCCCACCAAGCCGAUGAUGCCUACCGGGCGUGCGAGCGUGGCCCGGCACACUGGGACUGAGACACUGCCCAGACUCCUACGGGAGGCUGCAGUCGAGAAUCUUCGGCAAUGGGCGCAAGCCUGACCGAGCGACGCCGCGUGGAGGACGAAGGCCUUCGGGCUGUAAACUCCUGUCGAGGGGGAGGAAGGGGCAACCUUGACCGAUCCCUGGAGGAAGCACGGGCUAAGUUCGUGCCAGCAGCCGCGGUAAGACGAACCGUGCGAACGUUAUUCGGAAUCACUGGGCUUAAAGCGCGUGUAGGCGGAUGGGAACGUCGGUAGUUGAAAGCCCCCGGCUCAACCGGGGAAGUGGUGCCGAAACGACCUGUCUGGAGGGACGUAGGGGGACCUGGAACUUCCGGUGGAGCGGUGAAAUGCGUUGA